rnacentral:misc_RNA from 1 species
GGAAGUAAAAGUCGAACAAGGUUUCCGUAGGUGAACCUGCGGAAGGAUCAUUAAAGUUAUAGUCCCCUGGCCCUCUGGGCUGGGGUCUUCUAUACCACCCUUUGUUUAUUACACCUUUGUUGCUUUGGCAGGCCUGCCCUCGGGCUGCUGGCUCCGGCCGGCUCGCGUCUGCCAGAGGACCUAAACUCUGUUUGUAUAUGAAGUCUGAGUACUAUAUAAUAGUUAAAACUUUCAACAACGGAUCUCUUGGUUCUG